CGCCUGAGGAUGGGUCUGCGGUCUAUCAGGUAGUAGUGAGGGUAAUGGCCUCACUAGCCGACGACGGGUACGGGCCGUGAGAGCGGUAGCCCGGAGAUGGGUACUGAGACAAGGACCCAGGCCCUACGGGGCGCAGCAGUCGCGAAAACUCCGCAAUGCACGAAAGUGUGACGGGGCUACCCCGAGUGCCGUCCGCUGAGGAUGGCUUUUCCUUGGUGUAACUAGCCGGGGGAAUAAGGAGAGGGCAAGACUGGUGUCAGCCGCCGCGGUAAUACCAGCUCUCCGAGUGGUAGGGAUGAUUAUUGGGCUUAAAGCGUCCGUAGCCGGCUUAGUAAGUCCCCUGUUAAAUUCAGCGACCUAAUCGUUGAGCCGCGGGAGAUACUGCUAGGCUAGGAGGCGGGAGAGGUCGACGGUACUUCCGGGGUAGGGGUGAAAUCCUAUAAUCCCGGGAGGACCACCAGUGGCGAAGGCUGUCGACUAGAACGCGCUCGACGGUGAGGGACGAAAGCUGGGGUAGCGAACCGGAUUAGAUACCCGGGUAGUCCCAGCCGUAAACGAUGCGGGCUAGGUGUUGGAGUGGCUACGUGCCACUUCAGUGCCGCAGGGAAGCCAUUAAGCCCGCCGCCUGGGGAGUACGGCCGCAAGGCUGAAAC
rnacentral:rRNA from 1 species